rnacentral:rRNA from 1 species
AGUCGUAACAAGGUUUCCGUAGGUGAACCUGCGGAAGGAUCAUUACAGUUAUUAUAUUCUGCCAGCGCUUAGUUGCGCGGCGGGAAAUAAUCCUUACACACUGUGUUUUUUGUUAUUACAAGAACCAUUGCUUUGGCUUGGCUUAGAAAUAAGUUGGGCCAGAGGUAUACUAAAACUUCAAUUUUUAAUUGAAUUGUUAACUAAUUUUAUUGUCAAUUUGUUUGAUUAAAUUCAAAAUAAUCUUCAAAACUUUCAACAACGGAUCUCUUGGUUCUCGCAUCGAUGAAGAACGCAGCGAAAUGCGAUAAGUAAUAUGAAUUGCAGAUUUUCGUGAAUCAUCGAAUCUUUGAACGCACAUUGCGCCCUCUGGUAUUCCAUAGGGCAUGCCUGUUUGAGCGUCAUUUCUCUCUCAAACCUCUGGGUUUGGUAUUGAGUGAUACUCUUAGUCGAACUAGGCGUUUGCUUGAAAAGUAUUGGCAUGAGUGUGCUGGAUAGUACGUUCUGAUUAUUCAAUGUAUUAGGUUUAUCCAACUCGUUGAACGGUCGGGUGUAUAUUUCUGGUUACAACGGCUCGGCCCUACAACAACAAACAAGUUUGACCUCAAAUCAGGUAAGAAUACCCGCUGAACUUAAGCAUAUCAAUAAGCGGAGGAAAUUAAAAGUCG